GACGAACGCUGGCGGCGUGCUUAACACAUGCAAGUCGAACGGAAAGGCCCUGCUUUUGUGGGGUGCUCGAGUGGCGAACGGGUGAGUAACACGUGAGUAACCUGCCCUUGACUUUGGGAUAACUUCAGGAAACUGGGGCUAAUACCGGAUAGGAGCUCCUGCUGCGUGGUGGGGGUGGGAAAGUUUCGGCGGUUGGGGAUGGACUCGCGGCUUAUCAGCUUGUUGGUGGGGUAGUGGCUUACCAAGGCUUUGACGGGUAGCCGGCCUGAGAGGGUGACCGGCCACAUUGGGACUGGGAUACGGCCCAGACUACAACGGGAGGCAGCAGUGGGGAAUAUUGCACAAUGGGCGGAAGCCUGAUGCAACAACGCCGCGUGCGGGAUGACGGCCUUCGGGUUGUAAACCGCUUUCGCCUGUGACGAAGCGUGAGUGACGGUAAUGGGUAAAGAAGCACCGGCUAACUACGUG
rnacentral:rRNA from 1 species